GACGAACGCUGGCGGCGUGCUUAACACAUGCAAGUCGAACGGAAAGGCCCUGCUUUUGUGGGGUGCUCGAGUGGCGAACGGGUGAGUAACACGUGAGUAACCUGCCCUUGACUUUGGGAUAACUUCAGGAAACUGGGGCUAAUACCGGAUAGGAGCUCCUGCUGCAUGGUGGGGGUUGGAAAGUUUCGGCGGUUGGGGAUGGACUCGCGGCUUAUCAGCUUGUUGGUGGGGUAGUGGCUUACCAAGGCUUUGACGGGUAGCCGGCCUGAGAGGGUGACCGGCAACAUGGGGACUGGGAUACGGCCCAGACUCCUACGGGGGGAAGCGGUGGGAAAUAUUGCACAAGGGGCGGAGGCCUGAUGCAGCAACGCCGGGUGGGGGAUGACGGCCUUCGGGUUGUAAACCGCUUUCGCCUGUGACGAAGCGUGAGUGACGGUAAUGGGUAAAGAAGCACCGGCUAACUACGU
rnacentral:rRNA from 1 species